ACUUGACCUCAAAUCAGGU
rnacentral:rRNA from 1 species